rnacentral:rRNA from 1 species
CCUACGGGGGGCUGCAGUGGGGAAUAUUGGACAAUGGGCGCAAGCCUGAUCCAGCAAUGCCGCGUGAGUGAAGAAGGUCUUAGGAUUGUAAAGCUCUUUCGGCGGGGACGACGUACCGCAGAAGAAGCCCCGGCUAACUUCGUGCCAGCAGCCGCGGUAAUACGAAGGGGGCUAGCGUUGCUCGGAAUGACUGGGCGUAAAGGGCGCGUAGGCGGCUGUAAUAGUCAGAUGUGAAAUUCCUGGGCUCAACCUGGGGACUGCAUUUGAUACGUUACGGCUUGAGUGCGGAAGAGGGUCGUGGAAUUCCCAGUGUAGAGGUGAAAUUCGUAGAUAUUGGGAAGAACACCGGUGGCGAAGGCGGCGACCUGGUCCGUACUGACGCUGAGGCGCGAAAGCGUGGGGAGCAAACAGGAUUAGAUACCCUUGUAGUC